GCUGGUGCCAAAAUUCUUUCUGUUGAUGGUGGAGGUUUGGAGGACAUCAGUAAACCCGCAUAUAUCAAGCAUGAAACUCAUAAGCUCCAAUUAAAUUCUCCGAUGCUUAAGUCAGAGGGGACUUCGAAAUAGCAAUAGAAAAAAAAAAAAAGAGUUAUAUAGAAUAGUCUGAUUUGCAUAUUUGGUCGAUUAGUUUGGUAAAUCUGGAUUACUCGGUAUGGAUAGCUCAGCCU
rnacentral:lncRNA from 1 species